GUCAGUGAGAGCUGCGGUGACGUCAUCCACUUCACGGCGGCGCCCGGAAGUCAUGUCCCCGCGGCUCCCACUGACACAAGGACUGAGCAGCAGCCGCCGCAGCGUGUCAGUCUGAGUCGCCGGGUCUCGGAGAGAAAGGUGACAGCCCUUGGGGCCAUUUAUAAUAGGAUCAGAAUCCGCUGACAUAGUGAGGAGACGUCUGGGCAUCAAGUUCUGCUGAGUGAACAUUUAGCUGAAACAAUUCCUGGCGAACCUGAAUUGCUACUGCUUUAGAGGUAACUAACAACGAUAAAGACAAGAACUAACAACAUGAAAGACAAGAAGAUUAGAAGGAAACUACCUCACAUCUAGAAACUCCAAACUCCUACAUAUUGCUGUGUGAAUGCCAUAUUCGAUGUAUUACAAUUAUUUAAAUAGUUUUCUUUCUCUUUCUUGUGAGUAGCGCACAUGGGCAUACUAUUCCUGGAUUUUUCCCAACAUGGACAUUUGGAAUAUUUUCCUGAUAUUAUUCAGUAUGAAGAAAAAGGAAGAAAUCACAUAAAAAACAAGUAAUAAAAAAUGAUUAUUCUCUUUUCUAUAUGCUCAUGUGCGAUAUCGGAAAAGACAGAGAGGAAUCGAUCUCUCAAGUAUUGAAGAUAACAUACAAAAUUUGGCUGUUUGAUACAUAAAUUUCUCUUUUUUUAUAUAUAUAUUUUAUAUUCAAGGUGUUUACAUUCAUGUUCACAUAGCAAGAUACUACUUCCUUGCGUUUUUAUUGUUAUCUUGGUUUGUUAGGGAGGGAGGGGGUUAAACACCUGGGCCUAGCCCCGUGGUGAUUUCAUCCCCUUCCUCUAUAAAUAACAUGCACCCAUGUCUGUUAAUUGUACGACUAAGGCUACGUAUUGUGGCCGAAACGUGUCACCUGUCUUCCAUGUUGGCUGAUUGCUAAAU